rnacentral:rRNA from 1 species
AAAUUGAAGAGUUUGAUCAUGGCUCAGAUUGAACGCUGGCGGCAGGCCUAACACAUGCAAGUCGAGCGGUAGCACAGAGAGCUUGCUCUCGGGUGACGAGCGGCGGACGGGUGAGUAAUGUCUGGGAAACUGCCUGAUGGAGGGGGAUAACUACUGGAAACGGUAGCUAAUACCGCAUAAUGUCGCAAGACCAAAGUGGGGGACCUUCGGGCCUCAUGCCAUCAGAUGUGCCCAGAUGGGAUUAGCUUGUAGGUGGGGUAACGGCUCACCUAGGCGACGAUCCCUAGCUGGUCUGAGAGGAUGACCAGCCACACUGGAACUGAGACACGGUCCAGACUCCUACGGGAGGCAGCAGUGGGGAAUAUUGCACAAUGGGCGCAAGCCUGAUGCAGCCAUGCCGCGUGUGUGAAGAAGGCCUUCGGGUUGUAAAGCACUUUCAGCGGGGAGGAAGGCGGUGAGGUUAAUAACCUCAUCGAUUGACGUUACCCGCAGAAGAAGCACCGGCUAACUCCGUGCCAGCAGCCGCGGUAAUACGGAGGGUGCAAGCGUUAAUCGGAAUUACUGGGCGUAAAGCGCACGCAGGCGGUCUGUCAAGUCGGAUGUGAAAUCCCCGGGCUCAACCUGGGAACUGCAUUCGAAACUGGCAGGCUAGAGUCUUGUAGAGGGGGUAGAAUUCCAGGUGUAGCGGUGAAAUGCGUAGAGAUCUGGAGGAAUACCGGUGGCGAAGGCGGCCCCCUGGACAAAGACUGACGCUCAGGUGCGAAAGCGUGGGGAGCAAACAGGAUUAGAUACCCUGGUAGUCCACGCCGUAAACGAUGUCGAUUUGGAGGUUGUGCCCUUGAGGCGUGGCUUCCGGAGCUAACGCGUUAAAUCGACCGCCUGGGGAGUACGGCCGCAAGGUUAAAACUCAAAUGAAUUGACGGGGGCCCGCACAAGCGGUGGAGCAUGUGGUUUAAUUCGAUGCAACGCGAAGAACCUUACCUGGUCUUGACAUCCACAGAACUUAGCAGAGAUGCUUUGGUGCCUUCGGGAACUGUGAGACAGGUGCUGCAUGGCUGUCGUCAGCUCGUGUUGUGAAAUGUUGGGUUAAGUCCCGCAACGAGCGCAACCCUUAUCCUUUGUUGCCAGCGGUCCGGCCGGGAACUCAAAGGAGACUGCCAGUGAUAAACUGGAGGAAGGUGGGGAUGACGUCAAGUCAUCAUGGCCCUUACGACCAGGGCUACACACGUGCUACAAUGGCAUAUACAAAGAGAAGCGACCUCGCGAGAGCAAGCGGACCUCAUAAAGUAUGUCGUAGUCCGGAUUGGAGUCUGCAACUCGACUCCAUGAAGUCGGAAUCGCUAGUAAUCGUAGAUCAGAAUGCUACGGUGAAUACGUUCCCGGGCCUUGUACACACCGCCCGUCACACCAUGGGAGUGGGUUGCAAAAGAAGUAGGUAGCUUAACCUUCGGGAGGGCGCUUACCACUUUGUGAUUCAUGACUGGGGUGAAGUCGUAACAAGGUAACCGUAGGGGAACCUGCGGUUGGAUCACCUCCUUACCUUAAAGAA